rnacentral:lncRNA from 1 species
UAAAUUGCAAUCUCCAUACCUUACUCUUCUCUUUGAUGCUCUCUUUUUUCUUUCAAUUUAUGCCGCAGAGAUCCAUCAUAAGUACGGAAGUAGAACAUUUCAAAAACGGAGAGUGAACAAGUUUUAAUGACUUGCUCUCCAGUAUCACCUCCUAUGGCUCCUUGUUUUUCACCAGUAAAUGAUCGAGAAUUCGCUUUUCAUGGAAAAAUUAUGCUGUUUCUUCUUGUUUCUCUUUUAGCUGUUUUUCUCGCUUUUAUCAUCUUCUUUCCUCGGAUACGACGUUGGGUUAAUACCUCCAAAAACAAUGCUUUGGAGCUCAAUUAGUGCAGCUAUUUUAGUUUAAGGAUUGUGAGAGAACAAUGAAGGAGUUUCAAGCAAACGGUGAAGUUCUUUUUAAUUUUUAUGUUGUGAAUAAAAAUAAAUCAAUUUUUUGUAUUGAAAUUAUGAAUUUCAUCAAAACAGGGUUGUGAAGUUGUUUUUGUUGACAUAUUUGAGUAAGUUACUUUUUCUUUUUUCUUUUUUUUAAUAAGUUUGAAAAGUUACUUAUUCUACAGUAACAUGGAAGACAACGUGGUACUUUUAAGUUUGGCUUUGUCAAACCAACCAUUUUCCAUUUUAACCAUAAAAAUCUAACAUUCACCACAAUAGCCAUUUCUUGUGUAAAAGACAAAAACGCCCUUAAAUGAGUUAUAUAAUUACAAAAAUAGAAAUAUGGUAAAAAGACAAAAAUAUCCUUAAGUUACAAAUAAAAAUCCAAACAAGGCUCAAUUGAAAUUUGAAAACGAAGUCAGUCUUUUCACCAGUUUACUCUAACACGAUAAAAACUCUUCCAUUUUUCAUCCACUUCAACCUCAAAAUUUCAUAAACUUAUCAGUUAUCAACCUCAACAGAAAAAUUUAGUUAAAUUUCAGCACUUCAAUUCGGUAAGUAUCUUUUCGUAGUAUUUAAUUUUAUUUUUAUUGAAGUCGUAUAUUUUUUUUAAAUGGUAGAAAAAAUAAUAUUAGAGCCAAAGUUCAGGCCGGCACCGAUCAGACGCCGGAACGCCGGAUUUAACGACGGUCCGGAUCGUCCCGACCGUCCGUUUGCAGACUCCCCCGCCCCUCGAUUCUGAUAAUUUUAUUUCUGAUAAUUUGUUCUGAUAUUUUUAAUUCGUAAUGCAGAUAUGGCAAAAGUGUGUGUCCCAAUCUGUUAUUUCGGCGAA